UACGUAGGGUGCGAGCGUUGUCCGGAAUUAUUGGGCGUAAAGAGCUCGUAGGCGGUCUGUCGCGUCGAAUGUGAAAACCCGGGGCUCAACCCCGGGCCUGCAUUCGAUACGGGCAGACUAGAGUUCGGUAGGGGAGUCUGGAAUUCCCGGUGUAGCGGUGAAAUGCGCAGAUAUCAGGAGGAACACCGGUGGCGAAGGCGGGACUCUGGGCCGAUACUGACGCUGAGGAGCGAAAGCGUGGGGAGCGAACAGG
rnacentral:rRNA from 1 species